rnacentral:rRNA from 1 species
CCUACGGGUGGCAGCAGUGGGGAAUAUUGGACAAUGGGCGCAAGCCUGACCCAGCGACGCCGCGUGAGGGAAGAAGGCUUUCGGGUUGUAAAGUUCUUUUCUUAGGGACGAAAACCAUGGCAGUACCGCAAGCAUAAGCGGCGGCUAACUACGUGCCAGCAGCCGCGGUACUACGUAGGUGGCAAGCGUUAUCCGGAUUUAUUGGGUGUAAAAGGAGUGUAGGCGGGAAAGCAAGUCAGAUGUGAAAACUGAGGGCUCAACCGUGAGCCUGCAUUUGAAACUGUUUGGCUGGAGUGCUGGAGAGGUAAGUGGAAUUCCGUGUGUAGCGGUGAAAUGCGUAGAUAUACGGAGGAACACCAGUGGCGAAGGCGGAUUGCUGGACAGUAACUGACGCUGAGGCGCGAAAGCGUGGGGAGCAAACAGGAUUAGAUACCCCAGUAGUC